UGCCUCUCCCAAUCCAUAUAAAAUAAUAUUGCAUCCACCGAUCACAACCUAACCAACGCAACGAUUGCCACCUCAACAUGCUUCACUUCAGACUGUGUCCAGAGUCUUCACAUGUGGAAUGACAAUCCUUCAGCUUCAUUACUCGGUCACCAGGUUCCAGAUGCCAUCAGGAUGCCGGCCAGGCUUCCCUGGAUUGAAGACCCCACCAAUGUGUCCUGAAGCUCAGCUUCCCCAGAGACACACCCUACUA